rnacentral:rRNA from 1 species
AUUGAACGCUGGCGGCAGGCCUAACACAUGCAAGUCGAGCGGAUGAAGGGAGCUUGCUCCUGUAUUCAGCGGCGGACGGGUGGGUAAUGCCUAGGAAUCUGCCUGGUCUUGGGGGAUAACGUCCGGACACGGGCGCUAAUACCGCAUACGUCCUGAGGUAGAAAGUGGGGGAUCUUCGGACCUCACGCUAUUAGAUGAGCCUAGGUCGGAUUAGCUAGUUGGUUGGGUAAAGGCCUACCAAGGCGACGAUCCGUAACUGGUCUGAGAGGAUGAUCAGUCACACUGGAACUGAGACACGGUCCAGACUCCUACGGGAGGCAGCAGUGGGGAAUAUUGGACAAUGGGCGAAAGCCUGAUCCAGCCAUGCCGCGUGUGUGAAGAAGGUCUUCGGAUUGUAAAGCACUUUAAGUUGGGAGGAAGAGAAGUAAGUUAAUACCUUGCUGUUUUGACGUUACCAACAGAAUAAGCAACGGCUAACUUCGUG